UACGGGGGGGGCAAGCGUUGUUCGGAAUUACUGGGCGUAAAGGGCGCGUAGGCGGUUUGCUAAGUUGGAUGUGAAAACUCUGGGCUUAACCCAGAGCCUGCAUCCAAAACUGGCAAACUUGAGUACUGGAGGGGAAAGCGGAAUUCCUGGUGUAGCGGUGAAAUGCGUAGAUAUCAGGAGGAACACCGGUGGCGAAGGCAGCCCCCUGGGAUAACACUGACGCUCAUGCACGAAAGCGUGGGGAGCAAACAGG
rnacentral:rRNA from 1 species